GACGGAGGAUGCAAGCGUUAUCCGGAAUUAUUGGGCGUAAAGAGCUUGUAGGCGGUUUGUCGCGUCUGCUGUGAAAUUUCGGGGCUCAACCCCGAACUUGCAGUGGGUACGGGCAGACUAGAGUGUGGUAGGGGAGACUGGAAUUCCUGGUGUAGCGGUGAAAUGCGCAGAUAUCAGGAGGAACACCGAUGGCGAAGGCAGGUCUCUGGGCCAUAACUGACGCUGAGAAGCGAAAGCAUGGGGAGCGAACAGG
rnacentral:rRNA from 1 species